rnacentral:misc_RNA from 1 species
UGAAAGCGCUGGAAAAUGCUUGAAGGUCAUUAGAGAUCGAGAGGAAGUGUACUUCUAAUAUUAAUCCGAAGAUAUGAAAUCAAAAGCGCUGGAAAAAGCUUGAAGGUCAUUAGAGAUCGAGAGGAAGUGUACUUCUAAUAUUAAUACGAAGAAUCAAAUGGACAACAAUCAGUAGAACGCUCUGAUAUACAACUGGACCAAUCGCCAUCAAAUUGGGGGAAGUAAUACUUCCAAUGGAGAGAAAAAGUGGUCUCUUUCUCUUGUCACCUCAAAGAAAAAAUCAAAACUGUAAUUUCAAAAUACAAGUUGAUUAAUUUGUUUGACAGUUAAUGGAAGUAACUGAGUACCACGAGAAAUCAAUCCACCGAUAACUCUGCAAGCACUGGUAAACUCAAGCAGCAUUAAAUUGUGCUGAAUGCCUUUAUUACGGCGGUUGCAAAAGGCUAGUGAAUGCAACGAACAUUUACCAUCCUGAACUAGCUUCUAGUUACAGAACUAAACUUGCAAAUUCAAUUGAAUAGUGCCAAGGAUGAUACAGCUGUGACAUGAAACAGCUCAACAAUUUUACGAUCCAUUGAAAGCUUACUGGAUAUUACGAAAACUCUGACAAUGUAGUCAGAGUUUUCAUCCCACAAUUUCAAUAUCUGGAUUUCAAACUUUCAUCAUAAAUAUGAUAGGCAUCAUACAAAACUUGGAGAAUGGUUUCAGUCCUACUAACGGCUACACUUACAUGGUAUUGUUUCUAUCCAUUUCAACCCUUGACAUUCAAAGUCGAUUGGAUUCAUAUUGAAUAAUAAUUGUAUGAGUUUUUUCGACUAAUAUUCUAUUUGACCAAUCAGUUUUAUUGGUGAAUAUGGAAUAAUAUCUUAUUUGAAUCAUUUUUGAAGUGAUUAACUGAAGAAUAAGCUUAAAGGUCAGGCUAAGCCUCGGGAUGUCCCCAUUUUAUUUCGUCUACUUCGUAGUCAAUGAUUAUUGUGUCAACGCCCAUUGAU